CCUAGGGUACUCUAGACAGUCACAGUCUCAUGGCUGUCGUCAGCUCGUGCCGUGAGGUGUUGGGUUAAGUCCCCGCAACGACGCAACUCCUAUCCCCUGUUGCCAGCGGAUAAUGCCGGGCACUCUGGGGAAACUGCCGGCGACAAGCCGGAGGAAGGUGGGGAUGACGUCAAGUCCGCAUGGCCCUUAUGUCCAGGGCUACACACGUGCUACAAUGGCGCUACAGAGGGUUGCAAACCCGCGAGGGUGAGCCAAUCCCUAAAAAGCGCUCUCAGUUGGGAUCGGAGUCUGCAACUCGACUCCGUGAACCCGGAAUCGCUAGUAAUCGCGCAUCAGCUACGGCGCGGUGAAUACGUUCCCGGGCCUUGUACACACCGCCCGUCACACCACGAGAGCUGGCUUCAUCCGAAGUUGGCGAGCUAACCCCCAAGGGAGGCAGCCCACGAAGAUGGGGCUGGUGAUUGGGGUGAAGUCGUAACAAGGUAA
rnacentral:rRNA from 1 species